UGGAAAUUGAAUGCCACUUAAUCAUGUAACGAAUGUAGUGAUUUUUCGUACAACCAUCAUCGCAAAAAUCCCCUCUUGGAGUCGUAUGCGAGUAUACUGAUUUUGAAAUGAACCAAAAAAAAUCAUUACUUAAGUGUUUCUGAUUAGUGCAUGGCUUCCUCUCAUAAUUUAACUGUUCGAUUUCGAUCAGUGUACGUACUGUCUCAAACAAACAUAUAAACAGAAAAACAAACAGAACAGCAAUCGGCGGAUAACAAGGGGAUAAAUUGCUGCGGAGUUUCCCGUUACUAUCGUCCGGCAGAAAAAAAAACAGGGAAUGCUCCAACACAAUAAGCAGCUGGAUUGGAGCAGGUUGAUUGAGCUCUUGAACCGCCCAAAGAAGCUGCGCGAAGAGUCAGGCAACUGGAGGGGAACGCAAAAUGCUCAGCGAGUCAUCGCCUGCGGGGGUUGUUCCUGCACUGGAUACGAUUCCGACAACAGCGAAGGCCAGUUUCCCUGUUUAUGAUUUGCGACGGUUUAUCGUUUUUUUUUUCGGAGAAAAAUGUUACUGAGGCCAAUCGCUUCUUUCCACGCCUCCUCCAGCUCGACAAUGGGUAACAUUAAGUUUGAGACAAGUUCGCGAAAAACAAAAACUCAUCAAGCAUCUCGCCUGUUACUGGAAUUGGUAGCUCGUACCGUCUCCCAUGGUGUGCUGAGACGAUACAAAAUUAUUUGUCGCUACGGUCUAAAGAAGAUUCUGGCGAAUAAGAACCGGAUGCGUAACACAGAAAAAACUAUCCGUGAUGAAACCGAGGAUCUCUAAACAUUCCGCCGUGCAUGCAAAAAAUAAAUAGUUUACUCGAGCGAUGUCUGCAAGGCCGAUGGAAGCUACAAAUCUGUAUGAUGUUAUUUUAGACCCGCAGAUAAAAAGCAGAUUUCUAGAGAAGCUGGUCCGCAGCUCAGAAAGGAAACAGGAAAUGUUCAUCUCCUAACAGGUCAACUAAUUCAAGGGGCCAUCGCGAUAUCACCUAUAGGUGAACUCGAUUGUCCCGACACAAUUUUGUCAAGGCAUUUAUCUCCGUUCUUUUUCGAUCACCUCUAUCAUCAAAUAUAUCCGAAAUUGGGCGAUGUGCUGAAAAUUGAGCCGAAAUUGGUAUGGUGAGAUAGAAAAAUAUCAUUUUUGUUG